GGUGUUCUGGCAGAGAUGGUUCUAUUGCACCGGUCUGAAAUACCGGCUAUUGGGGUUCGAUUCCCCGGGCACCG
rnacentral:tRNA from 1 species